rnacentral:rRNA from 1 species
CCUACGGUGUGCAGCAGUGGGGAAUAUUGGACAAUGGGCGAAAGCCUGAUCCAGCCAUGCCGCGUGUGUGAAGAAGGCCUUCGGGUUGUAAAGCACUUUCAGUGGGGAAGAAAGCCUUGGGGCUAAUACCCUCGAGGAAGGACAUCACCCACAGAAGAAGCACCGGCUAACUCCGUGCCAGCAGCCGCGGUAAUACGGAGGGUGCGAGCGUUAAUCGGAAUUACUGGGCGUAAAGCGCGCGUAGGCGGUCUGAUAAGCCGGUUGUGAAAGCCCCGGGCUCAACCUGGGAACGGCAUCCGGAACUGUCAGGCUAGAGGGCAGGAGAGGAAGGUAGAAUUCCCGGUGUAGCGGUGAAAUGCGUAGAGAUCGGGAGGAAUACCAGUGGCGAAGGCGGCCUUCUGGACUGACACUGACGCUGAGGUGCGAAAGCGUGGGUAGCAAACAGGAUUAGAUACCCUAGUAGUC